UGGGGAAUAUUGGGCAAUGGGCGCAAGCCUGACCCAGCAACGCCGCGUGAAGGAAGAAGGCCCUCGGGUUGUAAACUUCUUUUAUCAAGGACGAAGAAAGUGACGGUACUUGAUGAAUAAGCCACGGCUAACUACGUGCCAGCAGCCGCGGUAAUACGUAGGUGGCAAGCGUUAUCCGGAUUUACUGGGUGUAAAGGGCGUGUAGGCGGGACUGCAAGUCAGAUGUGAAAACCAUGGGCUCAACCCAUGGCCUGCAUUUGAAACUGUAGUUCUUGAGUGUUGGAGAGGCAGGCGGAAUUCCGUGUGUAGCGGUGAAAUGCGUAGAUAUACGGAGGAACAUCAGUGGCGAAGGCGGCCUGCUGGACAAUAACUGACGCUGAGGCGCGAAAGCGUGGGGAGCAAACAGGAUUAGAUACCC
rnacentral:rRNA from 1 species